AUCACACACACUUAUUGUGAUCCAUGCCUUUACCGGUUGUGAUACAGUUCUAUCUUUGCUUGAAAAGGAAAAAAGACUGCGUGGGAGACAUUGAUGGCAUUUGAAGAUGUGACUUUAACAUAAAGAAUGAUGAUUGAUCAACCUAAAUCACCGGGGUUUUACUGUAAGAUCGCACAAACUUAACAGAUUGGGUUAACAUGGUUAACGAAGCAAGAAAAUAACUAUUUGCGCAAAAGGGAA
rnacentral:lncRNA from 1 species